UUAUCUAUUGGAAAAGUACGCCACUGUUAUAUGAUAUAAAACCAAGCCCAGUCAUUACAGGUGAAAGAACGAACCAAAAUGGGCUUAAUUUUGAGUGUUUUUCGCCACAUUUCGGAUUCUGUACAUCGCACGUUGGGGCGAGGUCCAAGCCACGGAAGACCCCGUCCGAAUGACAUUAACGGAAACGAGCCCCCGCGUCCUCGCCCAAGAGUUAGGUUUUUACUCCCUGAGGACGACCUAUGAGUGAAUGUAUGAGUCAAGUUAUUUUUAAGUGCUUUGGAAUGACUUGUAACUGCACCCUGCUAUAAAGCAACUAAUGUAAAUA